AUAUUAGAUAAAUACAGACGCAGGCAUAUAUACAUACUAGAUAAACACACACACGCGGGCAUAUAUACAUAUUAGAUAAACACACACACGCGGGCAUAUAUGCAUAUUAGAUAAACACACACGCGGGCAUAUAUACAUAGUAGAUAAAUACACACGCGGGCAUAUAUACAUAUUAGAUAAACACACACACGCGGGCAUAUAUACAUAUUAGAUAAAUACACACACGCAGGCAUAUGUACAUAUUAGAUAAAUACACACACACAGGCACAUGUACAUAUUAGAUAAAUACACACACACACAGGCAUAUAUACAUAUUAGAUAAACACACAUGCGGGCAUAUAUACAUAUUAGAUAAAUACACACACAUAGGCACAUGUACAUAUUAGAUAAAUACACACACACAGGCAUAUAUACAUAUUAGAUAAAUACACACACGCAGGCAUAUGUACAUAUUAGAUAAAUACACACACACAGGCAUAUAUACAUAUUAGAUAAAUACACACACGCAGGCACAUGUACAUAUUAGAUAAAUACACACAC
ensembl:lncRNA